rnacentral:rRNA from 1 species
AUUGAACGCUGGCGGCAGGCCUAACACAUGCAAGUCGCACGAGUGGCGGACGGGUGAGUAAUGUCUGGGAAACUGCCUGAUGGAGGGGGAUAACUACUGGAAACGGUAGCUAAUACCGCAUACCAUCAGAUGUGCCAAGAUGGGAGUCGCGUGUUGGGGGGGUAACUGCUCACCAAUGAGACGAUCCCUAGCUGGUCUGAGAGGAUGACCAGCCACAUGGGAACUGAGACACGGUCCAUAGUCGUACGGGUGGCAGCAGUGGGGAAUAUUGGACAAGGGGGGAAAGCCGGAUGCAGCUAUGCCGCGUGUAGGAAGAAGGCCUUCGGGUUGAAAAGUACUUUCAGCGGGGAGGCGUUACCCGCAGAAGAAGCACCGGCUAACUCCGUGGCAGCAGCCGCGGUAAUAC